UACAGAGGGUGCGAGCGUUGUUCGGAAUUAUUGGGCGUAAAGGGUGCGUAGGCGGUUUGGUAAGUCUUAUGUGAAAUCUACAGGCUCAACUUGUAGUCUGCAUGAGAAACUGCCGGGCUUGAGUAUGGGAGAGGUGAGUGGAAUUCCUGGUGUAGCGGUGAAAUGCGUAGAUAUCAGGAGGAACACCUGUGGCGAAAGCGGCUCACUGGACCAUAACUGACGCUGAUGCACGAAAGCUAGGGGAGCAAACAGG
rnacentral:rRNA from 1 species